rnacentral:rRNA from 1 species
CACUAUCGUUAACUGAAUACAUAGGUUAACGAGGCGAACCGGGGGAACUGAAACAUCUAAGUACCCCGAGGAAAAGAAAUCAACCGAGAUUCCCCCAGUAGCGGCGAGCGAACGGGGAGCAGCCCAGAGUCUGAAUCAGCUUGUGUGUUAGUGGAACGGUCUGGAAAGUCCGACGGUACAGGGUGAUAGUCCCGUACACCAAAAUGCACAGGCUGUGAACUCGAAGAGUAGGGCGGGACACGUGGUAUCCUGUCUGAAUAUGGGGGGACCAUCCUCCAAGGCUAAAUACUCCUGACUGACCGAUAGUGAACCAGUACCGUGAGGGAAAGGCGAAAAGAACCCCGGCGAGGGGAGUGAAAAAGAACCUGAAACCGUGUACGUACAAGCAGUGGGAGCACCUUCGGGUGUGACUGCGUACCUUUUGUAUAAUGGGUCAGCGACUUAUAUUCUGUAGCAAGGUUAACCGUAUAGGGGAGCCGCAGGGAAACCGAGUCUUAACUGGGCGUUAAGUUGCAGGGUAUAGACCCGAAACCCGGUGAUCUAGCCAUGGGCAGGUUGAAGGUUGGGUAACACUAACUGGAGGACCGAACCGACUAAUGUUGAAAAAUUAGCGGAUGACUUGUGGCUGGGGGUGAAAGGCCAAUCAAACCGGGAGAUAGCUGGUUCUCCCCGAAAGCUAUUUAGGUAGCGCCUCGUGAAUUCAUCUUCGGGGGUAGAGCACUGUUUCGGCUAGGGGGUCAUCCCGACUUACCAACCCGAUGCAAACUACGAAUACCGAAGAAUGUUAUCACGGGAGACACACGGCGGGUGCUAACGUCCGUCGUGAAGAGGGAAACAACCCAGACCGCCAGCUAAGGUCCCAAAGUCAUGGUUAAGUGGGAAACGAUGUGGGAAGGCACAGACAGCCAGGAUGUUGGCUUAGAAGCAGCCAUCAUUUAAAGAAAGCGUAAUAGCUCACUGGUCGAGUCGGCCUGCGCGGAAGAUGUAACGGGGCUAAACCAUGCACCGAAGCUGCGGCAGCGACACUAUGUGUUGUUGGGUAGGGGAGCGUUCUGUAAGCCUGCGAAGGUGACCUGUGAGGGUUGCUGGAGGUAUCAGAAGUGCGAAUGCUGACAUAAGUAACGAUAAAGCGGGUGAAAAGCCCGCUCGCCGGAAGACCAAGGGUUCCUGUCCAACGUUAAUCGGGGCAGGGUGAGUCGACCCCUAAGGCGAGGCCGAAAGGCGUAGUCGAUGGGAAACAGGUUAAUAUUCCUGUACUUGGUGUUACUGCGAAGGGGGGACGGAGAAGGCUAUGUUAGCCGGGCGACGGUUGUCCCGGUUUAAGCAUGUAGGCUGGUUGUCCAGGCAAAUCCGGAUAAUCAAGGCUGAGGUGUGAUGACGAGGCACUACGGUGCUGAAGUAACAAAUGCCCUGCUUCCAGGAAAAGCCUCUAAGCAUCAGGUAACAUUAAAUCGUACCCCAAACCGACACAGGUGGUCAGGUAGAGAAUACCAAGGCGCUUGAGAGAACUCGGGUGAAGGAACUAGGCAAAAUGGUGCCGUAACUUCGGGAGAAGGCACGCUGGUGUGUAGGUGAAGUCCCUGCGGAUGGAGCUGAGACCAGUCGAAGAUACCAGCUGGCUGCAACUGUUUAUUAAAAACACAGCACUGUGCAAACACGAAAGUGGACGUAUACGGUGUGACGCCUGCCCGGUGCCGGAAGGUUAAUUGAUGGGGUUAUCCGUAAGGAGAAGCUCUUGAUCGAAGCCCCGGUAAACGGCGGCCGUAACUAUAACGGUCCUAAGGUAGCGAAAUUCCUUGUCGGGUAAGUUCCGACCUGCACGAAUGGCGUAAUGAUGGCCAGGCUGUCUCCACCCGAGACUCAGUGAAAUUGAACUCGCUGUGAAGAUGCAGUGUACCCGCGGCAAGACGGAAAGACCCCGUGAACCUUUACUAUAGCUUGACACUGAACA